GUGACAAUACACAAACAGCGUGUUUCUUUUUCAAAUUAUUUUAAUGUAUGUUUCUUUUUUCUAAUAUACCAGUACUACUCGUAUAUAUAUAUAUAAAUCCAGUAGGAAUUCAUAUUUAUUUUUUUUUCAUUUUUCAUUUCUUAUUUGUCCGUCCGUCCUCCUUUCUCUCUCUACCCCCACUCCUAAUCGCUCAUCACAUCACUCUCUCUCUACCUACCGCCGGCCGCUCCUCACAGAUUUUCGGAGACAGGUCUCAUCCAAUGGCGGAGGAUUUGGAUUUGGUGUUGGACACAGCGAUCACAGAUUGGGUACUGAGUGGUUCUCAUCGGAGUCCUUCGCUACUUCGUCGCUAAGCUCACUGACUGACUGGCAAAACAUAGUUAGGGCUAGGAAUAUACAGGCCUCUGCGAAUUUCAUCCCUCCAAAGACGUUUCGUGCUCCGAAGGGUUUAUUUCACCAAUGAGGUUUGAUUAUGUUUUCAUUUAAUUUAUUGAAGGAUUUGAAUUCAUCUUUCCCUAUUUGGUAUGAAUACGAAAA